UCUUGAAGCUUAGACCUGAGCCAACUACAAAAAGAAGAAGAAGAAGACUGGAACGACACGUACGGCAGUACAAAGCCGAAUUGAAAUUAAAUUGAAAGUAAAUAUUAUCGAAUAUCACGCGAACCAACUUCCGCCUUUCUAUGCAUCUGAUACUAUUUGGCUCAGCAUUAUUAAAAUCAUCAAGGAAUAACGGAGAAGGCCCUUAAUGAAAUCGACGCUGCCCUGGCUCAUACUUCCACGCUCAUAGAACUUUUCGUAACAAAAAGUCGCAUUUACAAGACAUUGAUCGACGGAAACGAAGGUACAAAACCAUCUCCAAAACGCCCCUUGUUGAUUGGCUCAGAAUGGUCAAAUUGAAUUCGAAGACAUUGAACUAAAAUACAGAAAUAAUUUGCCAACCGUUUUGAAUCGAAUUUCAUUCCGUAUAUAGGUCAACAAGAAAAUAGGAAUCGUUGGCCAUACCGGAUCAGGAAAGAGUUCAAUUCUGGUUGCUCUAUUCAGACUCGUAGAGAGUUCAAGAGUUAAAAUAAAGAUCGAUGGUGUUGACCCAUCUAAAAUAG